rnacentral:rRNA from 1 species
GAACGGGUGAGUAAUACUUGGGAAUCUGCCUUGUAGCGGGGGAUAACGUUUCGAAAGGAACGCUAAUACCGCAUACGUCCUACGGGAGAAAGGAGGGGAUCUUCGGACCUUCCACUAUAAGAUGAGCCCAAGCGAGAUUAGCUAGUUGGUAAGGUAAAGGCUUACCAAGGCGACGAUCUCUAGCUGGUCUGAGAGGAUGAUCAGCCACACUGGGACUGAGACACGGCCCAGACUCC